rnacentral:lncRNA from 1 species
UCUUCUCUGCCAGCGGCUCAGGACUGAAACACCCAGAUCGCAGACCUGCAGGAUGGCGAGGACACCCUGCAUGCAGACAGUGGAGAACAGCGGAAUGGGCAAUAAAGCCAAGGAACCGUGGUUCCCAAGUCACUCCCUAACAGGAUGCUCUGGAAACACUGAAUGGAUGACAGUAGGAAGAGUAAAAGAGACAACGAAAAAGGCUAGAGUGAAGUAGAACAGAGCACUAGGAAAAACAUGCCAAAGGCCCCUUCUCCUACGGAGGGUACAGGAAGUAUACACCAGGGACAAGCAGAGUCAAGUUCAGCAAGAGAGAAAAUGUAACAAGCAAGCAAACAGGUCCAGCUUCUGUCCGUGCUGCGCUCUGGUGGAGGAUGCUCACGAACAUGGUGGGAGGUGCAGAUGACCCACAGCACCGUGAGAGGGCGGCACACCGUCAAGAAUGACAGUUCCCUUAAUGGCUCAGCAGUUAAGGAACCCAGCUGGGAUCUAUGAGGAUGUGGGUUCCAUCCCCGGACAGGGGUCCAAUCUGAGCUGUAACUGCUGGCCUACACCACAGCCACAGCAGUGCCAGAUCUGAGCCGCAUCUGUGACCUAUACCACAGCUCAUGGCAGUGCUGGAUCUUUAACCCACUGAGAGAAGCCAGGGAUCAAACCCACGUCCUCAUGGAUACUAGUUGGGUUCAUUACCACUGAGCCACAAUGGGAACUCCUAGGUGUGGACCUUUGAGUGUUAAAAUAUCAGACUUGGCAUUUUCUGGUGGCCUAGCAUUUAAGGAUUCAGCACUGUCUCUGCUAUGGCUCAGGUUCAAUCCCUGGCCUGGGAACUUCCACAUGCUGUGAGCAUGGCCAAAAAUAAAAUAAAAUACCUGAUUUGAAAUCCUGGCUCUGCUAAUUACUCCUUAUAUAACCUUGGAAAAAUUAUUUAUCACAACUAAGCUUCAACUUCAUCUACAAGCAGGACAUGAAAAUAUCCAAUUUAAAGUGCUUAGUGUUUGAUGAGUGGACACUAGCUAAAAUUGAAGAAUAUGUCCCAAUAGAUGAAAGCUGCAAACGAAUAAUAUCCAAUAUGAAGCUAGGAAAAUGUAUACAAACCAGGGGGAAUAUUAAGCAAAAAUUUUAAAGAUAGUUAUGCUAAACAAACAUAUAGUGAAAACUUUUCUGCAUUUACAAUGAUAAUAGCUAAGUUAAACAUAUAUUCCAGAGUUCUCUGGUGGUCUAGUGGUUAGGAGUUAGUGCUUUCACUGAGGCCUAGGUUCAAUCCCUGGUUUGGGAAAUGAGAUCCCACAUCAAGUCGCUGCAUCCAGCAGCCAACCCCCAUCACCCCCCCAAAAAAACCUCCGCCCAUGUAUGUAUGUAUGUAUGUAUGUAAACAAAAACUGGAAAAGAAUGUGAGAAGUCAAAUACCAUCUGAUAUCACUUAUUUGUGGAAUCUAAAAUAUGGAACAGAUGAUCCCAUCUUAACAAAAACAAAACAGAAACAGCUCAUGGCCAAGAAGAGCAGACUUGGGGUUCCCAGGAGGAAAAGGAGAGGGAGUGGGAGGGAAGGGCAUUUUGGUGGUUUUGGGGGAUGCAAACUGUUAUACCUGGGAUGGAUGGGCAAUGGGGCCCAACUGUACAGCAUAAAGAAAUGUGUGUAAUUCGGUCACUUUGCUGUACAACAGAACUUGAAGAAAAAUUGUAAAUCAACUAUACUUUAAUAAUUUUUUUAAAAGAAAAGGAAAAAAAUGUAUAAGUAGACCUACACAGUUUAAACUCAUGUUAAGAGUUCACUGUACUUCCUAACUCAUUUUACAAAGCCACGAUUACCCUAGUAUCAAAACUAGACAAAGACAGUACAAGAAAAUAAAACCACAGACGAAUAUCUAUCAUGAACAUAGAUGUGAAAAUCUUCAACAAAAUACUAGCAAAUCAAACCUAAUAAUUUAUAACAAGGAUUAUACACCACGACCAAGUGAGAGUAUGCAAGUCAGGCAUGCAAGGCUGGUUCAACAUUUGAAAAUCAAUUCAUGUAAUCUGUAAUUCUGAAACUGACAACACUUAUGACUUGAAUCUAGUGCCAGGACUUGAAACUGGCCUAAACUCAGAUGGGGACUUGAACCC